GUGAAUCAUCAAAUUUUUGAACGCAAAUUGCACUCUCCUCGGAGAGUAUGCCGGUUUGAGGUUCAGCCUAUUAAAAAUCUACAUCGUUGCUGUUUCCCUGUGGCGUUCGUCGGAAAUUGGGUCAGCUUAAAUCCUUUUGGUUUAAGCGAGUUAAAAUUGUCUUUUGUGUCCAUGAACUCGUCUGAGAUCUAUUUCGUUAGACGUUUAAUGUAUC
rnacentral:misc_RNA from 1 species